AGUGAACGCUGGCGGUAGGCCUAACACAUGCAAGUCGAACGGCAGCACAGUAAGAGCUUGCUCUUACGGGUGGCGAGUGGCGGACGGGUGAGGAAUACAUCGGCAUCUACUUUUUCUUGGGGGAUAACGUAGGGAAACUUACGCUAAUACCGCAUACGACCUACGGGUGAAAGCAGGGGAUCUUCGGACCUUGCGCGAUUGAAUGAGCCGAUGUCGGAUUAGCUAGUUGGCGGGGUAAAGGCCCACCAAGGCGACGAUCCGUAGCUGGUCUGAGAGGAUGAUCAGCCACACUGGAACUGAGACACGGUCCAGACUCCUACGGGAGGCAGCAGUGGGGAAUAUUGGACAAUGGGCGCAAGCCUGAUCCAGCCAUACCGCGUGGGUGAAGAAGGCCUUCGGGUUGUAAAGCCCUUUUGUUGGGAAAGAAAAGCAGCAGGUUAAUACCCCGCUGUUCUGACGGUACCCAAAGAAUAAGCACCGGCUAACUUCGUG
rnacentral:rRNA from 1 species